rnacentral:rRNA from 1 species
CCUACGGGUGGCAGCAGUGAGGAAUAUUGGUCAAUGGACGAGAGUCUGAACCAGCCAAGUAGCGUGAAGGAUGACUGUCCUAUGGGUUGUAAACUUCUUUUAUAAAGGAAUAAAACGAGGCACGUGUGCCUGUUUGCAGGUACUUUAUGAAUAAGGAUCGGCUAACUCCGUGCCAGCAGCCGCGGUAAUACGGAGGAUCCGAGCGUUAUCCGGAUUUAUUGGGUUUAAAGGGAGCGUAGAUGGGUUGUUAAGUCAGUUGUGAAAGUUAGGGGCUCAACCGUAAAAUUGCAGUUGAUACUGGCAGUCUUGAGUACAGGUGAGGUAGGCGGAAUUCGUGGUGUAGCGGUGAAAUGCUUAGAUAUCGCGAAGAACCCCGAUUGCGAAGGCAGCUUACUAAACUGUAACUGACAUUGAUGCUCGAAAGUGUGGGUAUCAAACAGGAUUAGAUACCCCGGUAGUC